rnacentral:tRNA from 1 species
GCCGAGAUGAUGAAAUUUGGUAGACAUACCUGACUUAAAAUCAGGAGGGGAUAUUCCCCGUGCGGGUUCGAGUCCCGCUCUCGGCACCA